rnacentral:rRNA from 1 species
GACGAACGCUGGCGGCGUGCUUAACACAUGCAAGUCGAACGGACAGACCCUGCUCUUGUGGGGUGCUCGAGUGGCGAACGGGGGAGUAACACGUGAGUAACCUGCCCUUGACUUUGUGAUAACUUCAGGAGACUGGGGCUAAUACCGGAUAGGAGCUCCUGCUGCAUGGGGGGGGUUGGAAAGUUUCGGCGGUUUGGGAUGGACUUGCGGUUUAGCAGCUUGUUGGUGGGGUAGUGGAUGACCAAGGAUUUGACGGGUAGCCGGCCUGGGAGGGUGACCGGGCACAGUCGGAUUGGGGAGGCACCAGGAGGGAAUCGGGCGGAAGGGGUGGAAGAUUGACGGCGAAGCGCGGAAGCAUGAAGCAGCGACGUCGGGUGCGAGAUGACGGCUUUUGGGUUGUAAACCGCUUUCGAGUGUGAAGACGCGUGAGUGCGGGAAAUGGGUAAAGAGGCACCGGCUAAUUAGGG